UGAUGAUGAUGAUGAUGAUGACGAAAACGACAACAAUGAUGAUUAUGAUGAAGGAAUUAACAAUGAGGAUUAUGAUGAGUAUGAUGAUUCCAUACUAUACUGGUGGUUAAAAACAGUGUUUAUGAACAGACACUUGAGGAUCAGGAAGAAGUCCUGGCCUUCUCCUGUGGUCCAUAUGUGCCACCAUCUAUGUUACCAGCAGUGGGGAUUAGAAUGCAAAGUGGUAUAUGAAGUGCCAGCUCUUUGAAAGGAAUGUGAGAUUAAGAACCUGGAGAAAAUAUUUUCUCCUCGUGUUGGGCAUCUAAAAGGAAGAGGCUCCCUCAUUCACAUGUGCUCCUCCUCGCACAAACGCUUGCACACAGUGAGUACUCGCCUGCGGCCAGGUGGCCUCAAGCCAGCAGGCCCCUCACUGCAAACUGAAGAAGCUGGUAGUGUCCUCAGAGCCAUGGUGGUAACAAAGCUCCUGGCCUGCUUUAUCAUCCUGUCAAGGGCUCACAGAGAUCCCCUGCUUCCUGAAAACGAGCAGCAAGGACCACAAUUCUGCACAGCAAAGAACUGAAUCAGAGAGAGAGAGAAAUGGCCAACUACCUGACAGUUUAGGAAAAACGGAAUGAGCCAUUUAUAAGGAGGUGGGCUUCCUGUCUCACUCUAUAACAUUUAAUGAUACAUGCUAAUUAGCAUUUGAUUAAUGGAUUUUUUUUCUUUCUGAAAUUUAGGUGCAAGUUCUAAAAGUAGCUCUUCUCACAAGAGGAAGAUGUUAGAAAUCACAAAACCAUACAGGAUUAUACCUUGUUUGGGAAAUUAGGAGCUUCAGGUUUUUGCUUCUUUGUUUCUGUCUCCUUUGCCUUUUGGCUUUGUGAUUUACAACACUAUAUCGGAAGUUUUUAGAACCAAAUUCAUGUUAAAUGUUGCCCAAGAUUGUACCUAUCUGAAUGAUAUAAAUGGAAUCCUGAGGCAGUUUGUUCUUCAGACUCCAGACGUCUGCAUACAGCUGGGGUGGUCAGUAUUGAUAGCCAAAAUGGCCAAAAUGGGUGCUUUGGCUCUGUGCUGUCCAGAUCCCUUGGCACAUACUUGAGAUACCAUCUCAUAUUCACUUUGUACAAAGUUCAGUGUACUAGUCCCAUUUUAUGCAUAUAUGGGCGCCAUUAACUUACAAAAUGGACAAACAUAGCGUGGAAAGGCACUUGGAGAGAGAAGACUAGGCAAGAGAGUGCCUUCAACUUUGAAAGAACCAAGCCGCAUAUAAGGAUCUUGCCCUGCUUUGUGAACGCAGAGAUGCCUUUACUGGUGAAGUUGAAAGGAUACUAUAAUCACCUCAGUAUAAUUCAUUAGAGUAGAUUAAAUUAAAAUUUAGAUGAAAAUCAUGAUUUCUUAUUGAAAUGAUUUAAUUAGAUUAUAGUCCCUAAAGUUGAGUAAUUGAGUCUCAAGGCGACAAGGGACUUUAACAAGCCAUUAAAACUAUCCUUCUGUGUGGAGUUGGAUUAAGGAACCAACAGCAAGUCUGUUCAGGGACCUGGCAUCAGUCUCUAAGGACACAAGAACGUUAUUUCAAGAAAUACAGGGCGGCUAACUCUGGCUUUCAUAUACAACCCAUAUAAGAGGUAAGCUACAAAUUGGUCAAUUCCUGCUGAAUUAUUAAAAUAUUAAAACAUUUAAUAUUAAGUCACAAUUUUAGAAAUAUUCCUUCCCAGCACUGUUUUUUCUGUUGAGCAUGGUCCACAUCAGCUGAAAUUAGGCUGUUUACUGUUUACUUGGAAUGAAUGCUAUAGGAUCAGUCCCAAUAGCAGCAAUAAAUUGUGGUUUAAAAAAAAAUAGGUAAUACA
ensembl:lncRNA